rnacentral:rRNA from 1 species
AUGGCAAGUCGAACGAUGAACCGGUUUCGGCCGGGGAUUAGUGGCGAACGGGUGAGUAACACGUGGGCAAUCUGCCCUGCACUCUGGGACAAGCCCUGGAAACGGGGUCUAAUACCGGAUACUGACCUUCACGGGCAUCCGUGGGGGUCGAAAGCUCCGGCGGUGCAGGAUGAGCCCGCGGCCUAUCAGCUUGUUGGUGAGGUAAUGGCUUACCAAGGCGACGACGGGUAGCCGGCCUGAGAGGGCGACCGGCCACACUGGGACUGAGACACGGCCCAGACUCCUACGGGAGGCAGCAGUGGGGAAUAUUGCACAAUGGGCGGAAGCCUGAUGCAGCGACGCCGCGUGAGGGAUGACGGCCUUCGGGUUGUAAACCUCUUUCAGCAGGGAAGAAGCGAAAGUGACGGUACCUGCAGAAGAAGCGCCGGCUAACUACGUGCCAGCAGCCGCGGUAAUACGUAGGGCGCAAGCGUUGUCCGGAAUUAUUGGGCGUAAAGAGCUCGUAGGCGGCUUGUCGCGUCGGUUGUGAAAGCCCGGGGCUUAACCCCGGGUCUGCAGUCGAUACGGGCAGGCUAGAGUUCGGUAGGGGAGAUCGGAAUUCCUGGUGUAGCGGUGAAAUGCGCAGAUAUCAGGAGGAACACCGGUGGCGAAGGCGGAUCUCUGGGCCGAUACUGACGCUGAGGAGCGAAAGCGUGGGGAGCGAACAGGAUUAGAUACCCUGGUAGUCCACGCCGUAAACGGUGGGCACUAGGUGUGGGCAACAUUCCACGUUGUCCGUGCCGCAGCUAACGCAUUAAGUGCCCCGCCUGGGGAGUACGGCCGCAAGGCUAAAACUCAAAGGAAUUGACGGGGGCUCGCACAAGCGGCGGAGCAUGUGGCU